rnacentral:rRNA from 1 species
AGAGUUUGAUCCUGGCUCAGGAUGAACGCUGGCGGCGUGCCUAACACAUGCAAGUCGAACGGAGUUAUUUUGGAAAUCUCUUCGGAGAUGGAAUUCAUAACUUAGUGGCGGACGGGUGAGUAACGCGUGAGCAAUCUGCCUUUAGGUGGGGGAUAACAGUCGGAAACGGCUGCUAAUACCGCAUAAUACGUUUUAAGGGCAUCCUUGAAACGUCAAAGAUUUAUUGCCUUUAGAUGAGCUCGCGUCUGAUUAGCUAGUUGGCGGGGUAACGGCCCACCAAGGCGACGAUCAGUAGCCGGACUGAGAGGUUGAACGGCCACAUUGGGACUGAGACACGGCCCAGACUCCUACGGGAGGCAGCAGUGGGGAAUAUUGGUCAAUGGGCGCGAGCCUGAACCAGCCAAGUAGCGUGCAGGAUGACGGCCCUAUGGGUUGUAAACUGCUUUUAUACGGGGAUAAAGUUGGGGACGUGUCCCCAUUUGUAGGUACCGUAUGAAUAAGGACCGGCUAAUUCCGUGCCAGCAGCCGCGGUAAUACGGAAGGUCCGGGCGUUAUCCGGAUUUAUUGGGUUUAAAGGGAGCGUAGGCCGGAGAUUAAGCGUGUUGUGAAAUGUAGGAGCUCAACUUCUGCACUGCAGCGCGAACUGGUCUCCUUGAGUACGUAGGAAGUUGGCGGAAUUCGUGGUGUAGCGGUGAAAUGCUUAGAUAUCACGAAGAACUCCGAUUGCGAAGGCAGCUGACUGUAUCGUAACUGACGCUGAAGCUCGAAAGUGUGGGUAUCGAACAGGAUUAGAUACCCUGGUAGUCCACACGGUAAACGAUGGAUGCUCGCUGUUGGCCUUUAGGUCAGUGGCUUAGGGAAACCGUUAAGCAUCCCACCUGGGGAGUACGCCGGCAACGGUGAAACUCAAAGGAAUUGACGGGGGCCCGCACAAGCGGAGGAACAUGUGGUUUAAUUCGAUGAUACGCGAGGAACCUUACCCGGGCUUGAACUGCCGGCGAACGAUUCAGAGAUGAUGAGGUCCUUCGGGACGCCGGUGGAGGUGCUGCAUGGUUGUCGUCAGCUCGUGCCGUGAGGUGUCGGCUUAAGUGCCAUAACGAGCGCAACCCCCGUCAGUAGUUGCCAUCGGGUAAUGCCGGGCACUCUGCUGAUACUGCCACCGCAAGGUGUGAGGAAGGUGGGGAUGACGUCAAAUCAGCACGGCCCUUACGUCCGGGGCUACACACGUGUUACAAUGGGGCAUACAGCGAGUUGGCCGCUGGCAACAUCGGUCUAAUCCAUUAAAGUGCCCCUCAGUUCGGACUGGGGUCUGCAACCCGACCCCACGAAGCUGGAUUCGCUAGUAAUCGCGCAUCAGCCAUGGCGCGGUGAAUACGUUCCCGGGCCUUGCACACACCGCCCGUCAAG